rnacentral:rRNA from 1 species
UACGAAGGGGGCUAGCGUUGCUCGGAAUUACUGGGCGUAAAGGGCUCGUAGGCGGCCCACUAAGUCAGAUGUGAAGUCCCCAGGCUCAACCUGGGAACUGCAUCUGAUACUGGUGGGCUUGAAUUCGGGAGAGGGAUGCAGAAUUCCAGGUGUAGCGGUGAAAUGCGUAGAUAUCUGGAGGAAUACCGGUGGCGAAGGCGGCAUCCUGGACCGACAUUGACGCUGAGGAGCGAAAGCUAGGGGAGCAAACGGG